rnacentral:rRNA from 1 species
AGAGUUCGAUCCUGGCUCAGGAUGAACGCUGGCGGCGCGCCUAACACAUGCAAGUCGAACGGCACCCCUCUCCGGAGGGAAGCGAGUGGCGAACGGCUGAGUAACACGUGGAGAACCUGCCCCCUCCCCCGGGAUAGCCGCCCGAAAGGACGGGUAAUACCGGAUACCCCGGGGUGCCGCAUGGCACCCCGGCUAAAGCCCCGACGGGAGGGGAUGGCUCCGCGGCCCAUCAGGUAGACGGCGGGGUGACGGCCCACCGUGCCGACAACGGGUAGCCGGGUUGAGAGACCGACCGGCCAGAUUGGGACUGAGACACGGCCCAGACUCCUACGGGAGGCAGCAGUGGGGAAUCUUGCGCAAUGGGGGGAACCCUGACGCAGCGACGCCGCGUGCGGGACGGAGGCCUUCGGGUCGUAAACCGCUUUCAGCAGGGAAGAGUCAAGACUGUACCUGCAGAAGAAGCCCCGGCUAACUACGUGCCAGCAGCCGCGGUAAUACGUAGGGGGCGAGCGUUAUCCGGAUUCAUUGGGCGUAAAGCGCGCGUAGGCGGCCCGGCAGGCCGGGGGUCGAAGCGGGGGGCUCAACCCCCCGAAGCCCCCGGAACCUCCGCGGCUUGGGUCCGGUAGGGGAGGGUGGAACACCCGGUGUAGCGGUGGAAUGCGCAGAUAUCGGGUGGAACACCGGUGGCGAAGGCGGCCCUCUGGGCCGAGACCGACGCUGAGGCGCGAAAGCUGGGGGAGCGAACAGGAUUAGAUACCCUGGUAGUCCCAGCCGUAAACGAUGGACGCUAGGUGUGGGGGGACGAUCCCCCCGUGCCGCAGCCAACGCAUUAAGCGUCCCGCCUGGGGAGUACGGCCGCAAGGCUAAAACUCAAAGGAAUUGACGGGGGCCCGCACAAGCAGCGGAGCAUGUGGUUUAAUUCGACGCAACGCGAAGAACCUUACCAGGUCUUGACAUCCACUUAAACUUACAGAGAUGUAAGGUGUGCUUGCACAAAGUGAGACAGGUGGUGCAUGGUUGUCGUCAGCUCGUGUCGUGAGAUGUUGGGUUAAGUC